rnacentral:rRNA from 1 species
UCCCAUCCCGAACACGGUAGUUAAGCUUCUCUGCGCCAAUGGUAGUUGGGGGCUUCCCCCUGCGAGAGUAGGUCGCUGCCGGGC